AAGAUUCGGCCUUUGGGCCACCAAAUCUCAUCGGCUGUGCGCCUCGGCAGCACGUCGUUGAACCUUCCACACCUGUGCACAACAUCGUUGGCGACCUUGACCAGUCGCUUCCGCCUUUCACAUCCAAACACAAGUCCAGAAUGUAAAAAACCAUAAUGUAA
rnacentral:misc_RNA from 1 species